rnacentral:rRNA from 1 species
AUUGAACGCUGGCGGCAUGCCUUACACAUGCAAGUCGAACGGUAACAGGUUAAGCUGACGAGUGGCGAACGGGUGAGUAAUGCAUCGGAACGUGCCCGGUCGUGGGGGAUAACACUUCGAAAGAAGUGCUAAUACCGCAUACGAUCUGAGGAUGAAAGCGGGGGACCGUAAGGCCUCGCGCGAUCGGAGCGGCCGAUGUCAGAUUAGGUAGUUGGUGGGGUAAAGGCCCACCAAGCCGACGAUCUGUAGCUGGUCUGAGAGGACGACCAGCCACACUGGGACUGAGACACGGCCCAGACUCCUACGGGAGGCAGCAGUGGGGAAUUUUGGACAAUGGGCGCAAGCCUGAUCCAGCAAUGCCGCGUGCAGGAAGAAGGCCUUCGGGUUGUAAACUGCUUUUGUACGGAGCGAAAAGGCUCUCUCUAAUACAGGGGGCUGAUGACGGUACCGUAAGAAUAAGCACCGGCUAACUACGUGCCAGCAGCCGCUGUAAGAC